UGAACGCUAGCGACAGGCCUAACACAUGCAAGUCGAGGGGCAGCGCGGGAGAAGCUUGCUUUCCUGACGGCGACCGGCGCACGGGUGCGUAACAGGUGUGCAAUCUGUCCAUAGUCGGGGGAUAGCCCAGCGAAAGCUGAAUUAAUACUCCAUGUGAAUCGAAGCCGCAUGACUUUGAUUUGAAACGCAAGGACUAUGGGUGAGCACGCUUCUGAUUAGGUAGUUGGUGGGUAACGGCCCACCAAGCCGACGAUCAGUAGGGGUUCUGAGAGGAAGGUCCCCCACAUUGGAACUGAGACACGGUCCAAACUCCUACGGGAGGCAGCAGUGAGGAAUAUUGGUCAAUGGGCGAGAGCCUGAACCAGCCGAGUCGCGUGAAAGGAUGAAGGUUCUAUGGAUUGUAAACUUCUUUUGUCCGAGGGUAAAAAAGGCUACGUGUAGCUUCUUGCAAGUAUCGGACGAAUAAGCAUCGGCUAACUCCGUGCCAGCAGCUGC
rnacentral:rRNA from 1 species